rnacentral:rRNA from 1 species
GACGAACGCUGGCGGCGUGCUUAACACAUGCAAGUCGAACGGAAAGGCCCUGCUUUUGUGGGGUGCUCGAGUGGCGAACGGGUGAGUAACACGUGAGUAAACUGCCCUUGACUUUGGGAUAACUUCAGGAAACUGGGGCUAAUACCGGAUAGGAGCUCCUGCUGCAUGGUGGGGGUUGGAAAGUUUCGGCGGUGGGGGAUGGACUCGCGGCUUAUCAGCUUGUUGGUGGGGUAGUGGCUUACCAAGGCUUUGACGGGUAGCCGGCCUGAGAGGGUGAACGGCGACAUUGGGACUGAGAUACGGCCCAGACUCCUACGGGAGGCAGCAGUGGGGAAUAUUGCACAAUGGGCGGAAGCCUGAUGCAGCAACGCCGCGUGCGGGAUGACGUGCUUCGGGUGGUAAACCGCUGUCGCCUGUGACGAAGCGUGAGUGACGGUAAUGGGUAAAGAAGCACCGGCUAACUACGUG